rnacentral:snoRNA from 1 species
ACCCUCCUAUUUCCUACUCCUCAGGUCUAAACUGUGGUCUCUGUGGCUAAAGAGGGAGGAAAAGUAAAACUGAAGUGGACUUGGAGUUUGUAGUAACAUAUAAGUUCAUUGCAAACAUUU